rnacentral:rRNA from 2 species
CUGGUGAGUAACACGUGGGAAACCUGCCCAGAAGCGGGGGAUAACACCUGGAAACAGAUGCUAAUACCGCAUAACAACUUGGACCGCAUGGUCCGAGUUUGAAAGAUGGCUUCCGCUAUCACUUUUGGAUGGUCCCGCGGCGUAUUAGCUAGAUGGUGAGGUAACGGCUCACCAUGGCAAUGAUACGUAGCCGACCUGAGAGGGUAAUCGGCCACAUUGGGACUGAGACACGGCCCAAACUCCUACGGGAGGCAGCAGUAGGGAAUCUUCCACAAUGGACGAAAGUCUGAUGGAGCAACGCCGCGUGAGUGAAGAAGGGUUUCGGCUCGUAAAACUCUGUUGUUAAAGAAGAACAUAUCUGAGAGUAACUGUUCAGGUAUUGACGGUAUUUAACCAGAAAGCCACGGCUAACUACGUGCCAGCAGCCGCGGUAAUACGUAGGUGGCAAGCGUUGUCCGGAUUUAUUGGGCGUAAAGCGAGCGCAGGCGGUUUUUUAAGUCUGAUGUGAAAGCCUUCGGCUCAACCGAAGAAGUGCAUCGGAAACUGGGAAACUUGAGUGCAGAAGAGGACAGUGGAACUCCAUGUGUAGCGGUGAAAUGCGUAGAUAUAUGGAAGAACACCAGUGGCGAAGGCGGCUGUCUGGUCUGUAACUGACGCUGAGGCUCGAAAGUAUGGGUAGCAAACAGGAUUAGAUACCCUGGUAGUCCAUACCGUAAACGAUGAAUGCUAAGUGUUGGAGGGUUUCCGCCCUUCAGUGCUGCAGCUAACGCAUUAAGCAUUCCGCCUGGGGAGUACGGCCGCAAGGCUGAAACUCAAAGGAAUUGACGGGGGCCCGCACAAGCGGUGGAGCAUGUGGUUUAAUUCGAAGCUACGCGAAGAACCUUACCAGGUCUUGACAUACUAUGCAAAUCUAAGAGAUUAGACGUUCCCUUCGGGGACAUGGAUACAGGUGGUGCAUGGUUGUCGUCAGCUCGUGUCGUGAGAUGUUGGGUUAAGUCCCGCAACGAGCGCAACCCUUAUUAUCAGUUGCCAGCAUUAAGUUGGGCACUCUGGUGAGACUGCCGGUGACAAACCGGAGGAAGGUGGGGAUGACGUCAAAUCAUCAUGCCCCUUAUGACCUGGGCUACACACGUGCUACAAUGGAUGGUACAACGAGUUGCGAACUCGCGAGAGUAAGCUAAUCUCUUAAAGCCAUUCUCAGUUCGGAUUGUAGGCUGCAACUCGCCUACAUGAAGUCGGAAUCGCUAGUAAUCGCGGAUCAGCAUGCCGCGGUGAAUACGUUCCCGGGCCUUGUACACACCGC